rnacentral:rRNA from 1 species
UACGAAGGGGGCUAGCGUUGCUCGGAAUCACUGGGCGUAAAGCGCACGUAGGCGGCUUUCUAAGUCAGGGGUGAAAUCCUGGAGCUCAACUCCAGAACUGCCUUUGAUACUGGAAAGCUUGAGUUCGGGAGAGGUGAGUGGAACUGCGAGUGUAGAGGUGAAAUUCGUAGAUAUUCGCAAGAACCCCAGUGGCGAAGGCGGCUCACUGGCCCGAUACUGACGCUGAGGUGCGAAAGCGUGGGGAGCAAACAGG